GAAUGCAAUAGAGUUUCUGGAUGAUGAGCAGUAUCAUGAAAAGCUAUUUGAAAUUUCUGCAAAAUGAGCAUUUCUGUCUCUGGAUAAAGACAAUCAUAAUAGCCUAAGUUGAAAAUACAAAGCCUAGAAUGUAGGUACCUUUGGAUGGGGAGAGGAGAAAACACAAAGGGUGAGGGAAACCAUGACUUGAAAUAUAGACCACAAGAAUUGAGGCCAUGAGGCUACAAAUGGUCCUGCAAAUGAAACCCGGAAUGCCUUGGCUCAUGAGCUCUAUAACAGACCUCUGGAUCUACCUAAACCCCUGGAAGCCUCCCCUCUGGAGGAAACCUCAACUGCAGGGCCCCUUCUAUGCCCCAAUUCAGCAGGAAGUAGUUAGAGAGCAAUCGAUGCCCAUGUCCCAACAGCAGCUGGACUUUCCUGUUCAGAGGGGGUACUGAGGGACAGUGUUAAAGAAACUUCUCUUCCUGGGUCCACAUGGGGCAUGGUUUCAAAUGCAGGAAUUUCCUUUGAGCACCUCCUCUACACCUCCAUCUGGAGACCAGAGGGGAUUCAAAUGCAGGAAUUUCCUGGCUCCCCACCUCACUGAGCACCUCCUGCACGUGGGCCAGGUAAAAUUCUAUCUGAUCUUCCUGUGCACGGGAAAGCCAGGUGGGGGACUCUUUUGUCCCAAAUUCCCACUGAAAGCUCUGGGAGGAAGAGGCUGUGUAAUUCAGGGUUGUAGAAGAAGUAGCCAAUCCAGUAUCAGAGUCAAAGAUCAAUCACCCCAGAGGAAGUCUGAAGGAACUCCCCUCAUUGGACGAGAACAUGAAUAGGGAGGGAAUAACUCAAGGAUUAAAACUUCAGGGGCUCCUACCUGAAGGGAUUCCUUUUCUGAGUCCCCUCCCAUGACAGCGUGGGAGCUGUCUUCUUUCUCUCUCUCUGUCUAAUAAAUUACUCUUCUGCAAAACUC